UCCUCACUGUGUAAGCAAUACGCACUGGCAAAUUCCUAACUCCUCGGUAAGGACAAAUUCCUCAGAGACCAGAAGAUCUUUUUCUCUAUCACUAAAGAAAUUGACUGAACUAAUAUGAGAUUUCCAAUGGCUUCACUCGAAAGGAUUGGUUAGGUGUGGGAUUUUGAGAUGAGCAUGACUUGGAAAUCACUUUCCUUAGUAUUACCUCAACCGCCUUUAAUAGUAUGGUGUUUCCUAUGACUCAAGAAAGAGAAAAUGAAACUACAAAAACAAAAGUCUUCACGCUUCAUAAUCCUCGCAUGAAUAUCCAAGUCUUCAAGGUCACAUCAAUUUCUUCACUUUCAAAAUCUUCAGGAGAACCAAAGUCUUCAGCUGAAGACACACAUUUUUAGGGGUCGACUUUCAUCAUAAAUAUCAAACUCCUCAUCGACUUAUAGAGCCUAUGUACCCUCACAAACAUAUUAGUCCUUAACCUAUAAGUCAUCAGUACAGCAAAAUCACUAAGGGGCACUAGAUGCACUUACAGUUAAACAUGAGAUUGUUGCUAUUGCAUCCAUACUUGAUAGUUCCUUGAAUCAAAAGCAUGAUUGCAAGGAUGUUAUUAUAAAUUAUAUUAAUGUCAAAAUUGUGCUAAUAAUAUGCAAAACCCCAAGCUUGGGGAUGCUAGUUUUGCUAUGUCCGCUACUUAUUGCAGUGAUCAUGAUUGGGGUGAUUCUUCUUUUGAUCUUGAAAAUUUAUUUAAGCCUCGUGAUGAAUAUGCUUGCGAUAAUAUUGAAAGUGGGUUUGGAAGACUGUCAACUCUAGGUAAUAAUGAUCCCACUAUUUUGGAGAAUCAUCAAUCUUAUGAAUUUUUUGAUAAAACUCGGAUUGGAGAGGUUAUGACUUUAUUUGAUGAUAUUCCCACUAUUUUGGAAGAGUGUCAACUUUGCAUGCAUGUGGAUCAUGUAGAGAAAAUUUUAUAUGAUAGCUAUAUUGUUGAAUUUGAUUAUGAUCCUACAUGUAAUUAUUAUGAUAGAGGAAAAUAUGGUUGUAGAAAUUUUCAUGCUACUAAAUUACCUCGCGUUAUGUUGAGAUUGCUAUUGUUUCUCUCUUGAUCCUUGUUGUCGGUGUCAAAACCGGCGGAUCUCGGGUAGGGGGUCCCGAACUGUGCGUCUAAGGCUAAUGGUAAUAGGAGGCGGGGGACACGAUAUUUACCCAGGUUUGGGCCCUCUCUAUGGAGGUAAUACCCUACUUCCUGCUUGAUUGAUCUUGAUGAUAUGAGUAUUACAAGAGUUGAUCUACCAUGAGAUCAUAGAGGCUAAACCCUAGAAGCUAGCCUAUGAUUCUCAUUGUUUUUGUCCUACAGACUAAACCCUCCGGUUUAUAUAGGCACCGGAGGGGGCUAGGGUUACACAGAGUCGGUUACAGAUAAGGGAAUCUACAUAUCCGAAUUGCCAAGCUUGCCUUCCACGACAAGGAGAGUCCCACCCGGACACGGGACGAAGUCUUCAAUCUUGUAUCUAAAUAGUCCAACAGUUCGGCAUAAGCAUAUAGUCCGGCCGUCCGAGGACCCCCUAAUCUAGGACUCCCUCAGUAGCCCCUGAACUAGGCUUCAAUGACGAUGAGUACGGCGCGCAGAUUGUCUUCGGCAUUACAAGGCGGGUUCCUUCUCCGAAUACUCCAAAGUAGAUCUUGAACACACGAAUUGUGUCCAGCUCUGCAAAACAAAUUCCAUGUACCACCAUAGAGAGUACAAUAUUCCACGAGUCUAAUCUGCUGACAACUUUUACCUAGCGUGAUAUCACAUUGCGACCCGGUUAUUAUUCAAACUGUUUUUUCCAACCUGGCACUGCACGUCUUGCGAGGCGGUUUUAUUGGCACAACUUGUCGAAGCAGAGAUCGUGUCCCCCUUAUCACGGGAUUCUCAUCAAUACGGGUGUGGGUAACCUAACCGCUCCAUUAGUAUGAGUCCUUGGUUUAAGCAAGUUCCAAACAGCCGCGCGGAGGACGCUUGACAUUCAUCCUCUAUAUAAAGAUGUCAAGACCUGUCCUUUUGUUUCCACGCCUGAUCCUUCCCUUCCCCCACCUCGAGUUCCAACACCCAAGGUUUAGUCCAAGCACUCCGGACAUUCAAUCAUGUCCGGAUCCAACCUUCAAGGCCGGUGGAUGGCCUCUUCCGUCACAGAGGAGGACAUCAAGAAGCUUAGGGAGGCUAGGUAUUUGACCGCCGAAAUCCUUCACAGGCUUCCUACUCAAGGGCAAGUUAUUCCUACUCCCAAACCCAACGAGAGCGUCGUAUUCAUUUCCCACUUCCUCCGAGGGCUAGGCUUCAUUCUUCAUCCCUUUGUUAGAGGGCUCAUGUUCUAUUACGGACUAGAUUUUCAUGAUCUAGCUCCAGAUUCCUUCCUUCACAUCUCAACAUUCAUCAUUGUGUGUGAGGCCUUCCUUCAUAUUACCCCACACUACGGCUUAUGGCUCAAGACCUUCAAUGUGAAGCCGAAGAUGAUCGACGGGCGACAAGCGGAGUGUAGAGGCGCUAUAAUAAGCAAGGGCGUUGAUGCUUUAUGGCCAAAGGGUUCCUUCCUGGAAGUUUCUGACCUAUGGCAACGGGAGUGGUUUUAUAUCACAGCACCCCGAGGGAGGAAGUGGGCGGCUCCCCUGCCUUUCGCUCUGCCCCUCCGCCACAUCUUGCAUCAUGGGUCAACAAGGGGCUGGACUGGGGAUUGGUUGAUGAUGUGCGGACAUUGCACAGCUGCAUUUAGGAUCUCAUCAAGAAGGACAUCCGUCUUGUCAAGGUAAUUCAAGUAAUGUUAGUUCGUCAGGUCCUGCCGUGCCAAUGUCGACCUCUCCGUAUGUGGGAGUUCAACCCAAAAGGACCGCAAACUAUUCAGCACUUCUUCGGCAGGACGCUCGAAGGAAUGUAUCAAUUAUUCUUCAGAUCAUGAAUAAAGUGUCCGGACACGACAAAGGAUGCAGGCCUCGCAACCAUCCAGACACCCAGGAAAGUAAUUCCACGAUCGAACAUGCUGUCAUUAUAUUUGUCACAACAUUAUUCUGAAAACCCAUCCUCGGCAAGGGCUGGAUAAGAAAGGCGGAGAGGAUUAGGUGUUCGGCCCCUCUUCCCGAAGAUUCUCCGGAUCCUAUAUUAACCAAGAUGCUGGCUCGCGCACCUUAUUAAGUGCCAUCAGGGGAAGACAAGCAGAGGAAUGGGGAAGCCCAAAGUGGACUUCAUGCCGGAGGUACGUUACGCAUCCUAGCAAAUUAGUACCCCGGCGUCAGAGGAUGAACGGGGAGGAGAAUCUAGCAUCCCCUCUCCCCAUGGGAAUAAAAGGCCCGCCCCUGAAGACUUGGAAGCAGAGGUCUUCAAACGAGGGAAGAAAUCUUCAUCGGGGGGCCCUGCCCCAGAAGGCAACAUUGCCGCACAGCGCCCGCGGGGGGGGCAGCCGUUAACCUAGCCGUAAGUGAACAAAGGUGCUUAGUAAGCAUACCCCAUUCUUUCCCUGAGAAUAACGACCGAGACAUAUGUUUUGAAGUUCGGCUCAUAGCCUCCCUCAACAAUGUUCGUCCUCGGGGGAUCUUCUUUCGGAGAUGAUGGAGAGCGAAAUGCCUCCUCCUACUUCUUCGCCUCAUGAGGCAUACGACCCUGAGGUGUCGUCCCGGAGGAUCUCUCCUGGUCCGCAAAGACCAGAAGGUAACUCUUCGGCCGCCUGAAGUCCGGGGUUUUCAGAUCCUAGAGAGACCAACAGAAAAAGAACCGUACUGUCCGAUAUACAACCGGACACAUUGACAGGUCUUCUACGGCAAGCGGCUAUCUCAGAGGCACAUCGUACCUUGAUGGGUAUGGUGGUUGAGAGGAUUUCAUCCGCAAAAAGCGGGUUGAAUGAAGCUUUUACAAGCCUGCUAAGAGGCUUUGAGGUUCGCAACGUGAUAUUUUUUGACUGUACCGUAAACACAAAGUGCACUGUGUAUAGAUAGUAGCCCCUGAGACUCUAGUUGCCAUCCUAAUAGGGUGAUCAGAGGAUCGAAAAUAGAAAUAAUCUUAGGUAACGAUUUGGCCAAUUUUGUACAUAGGCGGCUGCAGCCCCAGCAGCUACUCGGGCUGCCGAAUUUGCCGAACUGAAGCGGCAACUUGAUGUGGCGGAUGAAGACAUCGCAUUUGUGAAUAGGCGGCUUGAAGAGGCACAGGGUAUGUAUAUUUGGGUGGUCAGCCAAUAUUAAUAAGAGCAUGAUGCUAGGAUUUAUGAUGUGCUUUGACUGCAGGUGGUGCUGCCGCCGUGGAGACCCUUCGGGCUGAGCUUGCCCAGGCCAAGGAGCAAGCCAGGAGAAGCAAUGCGGCUGCCGUGAAGGCAGCUGAUGAAUUGAAAGCCGAACAGGCUACUCGUCGCUGAAGUGAGUAUAGAAUAGCCAACAUGGCUCUUGAGCUACAAAAUGCCGCUAGCCGAUGUGAGCUUCUCAAAAGGGAAAACCAAGCGAAAACGGCUAACCUAAAGAAGGCCUUACAAGCAGCAAAGGAAACUCGUUCUGAGAUCAGAGCGGCUCGAGAGGAGCUCUGGCAAGCCGGUGACAUCGCGGCUGGGAAGCCCUUUUUAUUACAAACAAAAUUCGGCGAUCCGAAGUAUGCCCCUCUUGAUCAAUUGUGGAGUUCUUCAGACGCAUACUUGGAUUUGUCAAAGAGUGUUGUUCAUGCGACAAUGUAUUUCAAAGAUCGAAAAGAUCAUGAAGCGGAAAGAUUGUUCUGGUCGAAGUUCAGUACUCCAAGGCGUCCGCUGCUGUUGAAUGAGCAAAUGGCCGAAUGGGCCAAGCUCCAUAGGUUAUCCGGGUUUGCCAUGAAGGCCAUCGUGGAUCACCUAUGGCCGAAGGAACCAAGUCGGGAUAGUUAUUUCGGUUUGGUGCAACAAUUUAUUCGUGUUGUGCCGCAUAUCGACGCUGUCAAGCGGUCGGCGUGCAUAGAGGGUGCACGGAUGGCCCUUGCCCGUGUUAAAACAUAUUGCACGAAGAUGGAGGCCACCGAUAUUGCAACCAGAGGCCCACCCUGGGGCCAUCACUCGCCAGAGCACUAUUUUGAAAAAGUCUUAGAAGGUUCCCGUUUAAUAGAGGCUCAGUGCUCAAAGAAUACCAUGUUCGAAUGACAUGUAUCUUGAUUGUGAAAACAAUGCUUUUGAUAAUAAAGGCUAUAUUUAUACUUUUUCCCGUAAAGUAUUGUAGUGCCUCCUGUGCGGCCGCUUAUGUACAUAUGUAUAUAACCUGAAAGUUUGCAGUCGUCGGCUUCAGCCCCCUCGCAUAUAAUGUGGGGGUGUUCGGCAAAGCAUGUAAUCACACUUGAUCCAACGCCUUGGUCCGUUAAGGAGGUGGUAGCACGGCGAACGAGGUAAUCGGACUAUAUAGCUUUAACACUUUCACUUAGCCAUAAGAGUUUGACAGUGGGACUACUAUAUAGCCCCUGGUAUGUCCAUGUUUAUCCGAAUAUGGUGCGUUCACAUACGUGACCGGGAAACCGGUCCUUCGUUAAUGUGGAAGAUUCCGCUGACUCAUCGAGAGGUUGACCAGUCUCUCGCUUUAUCAUGACAGCCAGUUUUUGGCUUUCUCUACUGAGGUGCUCAUCUGGAUGAACCAGGGCACAAUCGCAGUAGUUCUCCCUGUGCCACCUUAGCCGAUAGAGCGGAACAUAAGGUAGCAAAACAUGGGAGCUGGGCAAACCCAACUAUUGACCAAAGACAUGAUUCGGAGCUAAUGCAUAUAAGGCCAAACUCGCGAUGCCCAACACUCCCGAAGAUAUUCGGACUUUACAACAUAUACUGGGCUGAGCACUGCCCUCGAUAAUGAGCCCUGAAAUUCAAGGUACGUGCAUCAAUCCGGCGUGACGAAAGAGCGCCUGUGGUGAGAGCAUAGAUCUCGAAAACACAUUGGUUGUUGUCUCUGUAACGUCUGUUUUAGAAUGGCGAAUCAUAAGCUCGCUGGUAACGCCGGUAUCCCUCUUGGUCAUUUUAAGUGCCAGGAGGGUGUGAGACAACAAGAGAUAGUAAAAAAGGUUUACACGGGGUCUUAAUCUAAAAAGAAACCUUUGUACGGGGCCCUGCUGCACGUUUAUGCCUUUGUCUCCGUUGUGUCGUAUCUUUGAAGGGUAUAGCACGAUGGUCAUCUGUAAAAAAAGACCCAGGUGAAAGAAUCUGGUGUGACCGUGCGUAGAGUCAAUUAAUCUUAAUGAACCGUGAAAAUUCAGUCUCUUGAGUGUAAAUAGGGUCGAGCCGAACUAUGGACCUUUUACAUGCGGGCAGCCCCCAGCACCACAUAUGGGGGCAUAGCCGUUAAUCAAGCUCGGGUUUAUCUGGGCUGCUACAACUAGAUGUGUGCCGAACACGUCUAGCAGUGUCCAUGGUCUCGAAGACCGAUGCGCUACUCGGGUUGGAGAGGUUGUUCAGUGUUUCGGCUGCUAGAGCCGCCAUGUAAUCUUCCGCACGAAGAGAACGCUCUGUGUUUUCGUUGAUUGUGAUGACGCCAUGUGGACUAGGCAUCUUAAGUUUGAGAUAAGCAUAAUGUGGUACUGCAUUGAAACGAGCGAAAGCCGUUCUUCCGAGCAGUGCAUGAUAGCCUCUUCGGAACGGAGCGAUGUCGAAGAUUAGUUCUUCGCUUCGAAAGUUGUUGGGAGAACCGAAUACAACCUCUAAUGUUAAAGAGCCCGUGCAGUGGACCUCUACGCCUGGUAUUACUCCUUUAAAGGUAGUACUGCUUUGGUUGAUUCUUGGGGGUCUAUACCCAUCUUGCGGACAGUGUCCUGAUAUAUCAGAGUAAGACUACUACCACCGUCCAUGAGGACUCGGGUGAGAUGGUAUCCGUCGAUUAUUGGGUCGAGCACCAAGGCAGCCGAACCUCCAUGCCGGAUACUAGUCGGAUGAUCCCUGCGAUCGAAAGUGAUCAGGCAGGACGACCAUGGGUUGAAUUUGGGGGCGACGGGCUCUACAGCAUAUAUGUCUUGGAGUGUGUGUCUGCGCUUCCUCUUUGGUAUGUGGGUGGCGUAAAUCAUGUUCACUGUUUUGACCUCCGAUGGAACUUUUUUCUGUUCCCCACUGUUCGGCUGGCGAGGUUCAUCCUCAUCUUCACUUAGCGGCUCCCUCCCUUUGUGUUCGGCGUUUAGCUUGCCGGACUGCUUGAAGACCCAGCAUUCUCUGUUGGUGUGAUUCGCAGGUUUCUUGGGGGUGCCAUGAAUCUGACAGGACUUGUCUAGAAUUUUAUUUAGGCUAGACGGACCAUCUCUGCUGGCUUUAAAUGGCUUUUUCCGUUGACUGGGUCUAGAGUCCCUGAAUCCAGCGUUUACCGCUGUAUUGUCUGGGCUGUCUUCAUUAUCUCGACGCUUGUUUUUAUUGUGUCGCGGUUUUCCAUUGCCAUCCCUGAUUUCGGAUGUGCCUGGAUCGCUGGUGUCGCUGCGGGCCAACCAACUGUCCUCGCCCAUGCAAAAGCGGGUCAUAAGAGUUGUUAGGGCUGCCAUUGUCCUUAGCUUUCCCAGGCCGAGGUGUAUGGCAAGCCAUUCUUCCCGGAUGCUAUGUUUGAAAGUUGCUAGGGCUUCGGCAUCCGGACAGUCAACGAUUUGGUUCUUCUUGGUGAGAAAUAUGUUCCAAAGCUUACAGGCUGACUCUCCGGGUUGUUGAAUUAUGUGACUUAAAUCAUCUGCAUCCGGAGGUCGGGCAUAUGUCCCUUGAAAAUUAGCCCUGAAAGCAUCCUUGAGUUCCUCCCAGCUUCCAAUGGAAUUUUUAGGGAGGCUUUUCAACCAGUGCUGAGCUGGUCCUUUCAACUUGAGAGGCAGGUAUUUGAUGGCGUGGAGAUCAUCUCCACGAGCCAUAUGGAUGUGAAGAAUAAAGUCCUCAAUCCAGACUGUAGGGUCUGUCGUUCCGUCAUAUGCCUCGAUGUUUACGGGUUUAAACCCCUCUGGAAAUUCAUGAUCCAGCACCUCAUCGGUGAAGCACAGGGGGUGUGCAGCGCCCCUGUACUUGGAUGUGUCAUGGCGUGGGUCCGGCGGUUGUAGUGUUCAGUGUUGAUUCCGAGCGAUCAGUAUAGUCGGUUUGGUGGCCAUGAUCCUGCAUAGGAACAUGUUUCCUAGAUCCAUAGAUGGACCUGGUCAUACCAGCUCUUUUGUCCAGGUGCUCACGUAGAUCGUGUGUUGACUUGUGUGCAGCGUCAUUAGCAGCUCUGUCUCGGCCACGGGGUGGUCGCUUCGGCAGAUCGUCCGUAUUGUUUUUGGCAGAAUGGGCACGAUAGCCUUGUCGUCGAAUUCGGGCAGCAGCUUACGUUUUGGGUAGCUCCUUGUAUGGCGAUCACCGCCGUAUCUUUCAUCAGUGUCGAGCACUUCGUUCCAUCUGUGGUUGAGCAUAUCCUGCGCGGCUUUAAGCCGUUGCUUCUGCUUCUUCAAGCUCCUCAUGGUGGCAAUAAGUCUCUCGUGGAGGUGCUCUUGUUCCAAGUGUUUUUCCGGGAUGAUGCGUGCAUCAUCGUCCGGACUGUCCUCCUCUCCAUAGACAGGUUUAUAAGUUUUGCCUUCGGCAUCACUGUGUUCGGACAACGGCCCCGGACUGUGUUCACCGUCCCCUUGCUCAUCCUGCUCCAUCGUUGGGUCUACGGUGUCGUCGUUAUCUUUAGCAUCGUCCGAGGUGUUAUUCUUUCUUGUGCUGGUAUCGCUGUUUUUCCUAUGGCGGGAUUUAGAGCGGCGCCGCUGACGUCGGUGCUUUGUUUGCUUUUCAAGAGGAUUAUCCUUUGUUGCAUCCUUUUGAUCCUCGCCAUUGCUUUCUUUGGGUGUGUCCACCAUAUAUAUGUCAUAUGAUGAGGUGGCUGUCCAGCGCCCUGGGGGCGGUGGUUCCCGUUCUUCUCCGGCAUUGUCGUCCAUACCGUUGAUGUCUUCGGAGUCGAGAUCAAGCAUGUCGGUUAAGUCGUCGAUAGUGUCUAUUAAGUGGGUGGUGGGUGGGAAAUGAAUUCCUUCGUUGUCCGCUUUCUAGUCAAGCCGGACAUAGUUCGGCCAAGAGUUUGACAAGGAGAGGGAUUUUAAUGAGUUUAGCACGUCGCCCAAGGGCGAGUGCCGAACAAUAUCCGCUGAGCUGAACUCCAUGAUCGGCGCCCAGUUAGGUCUGAUAGGUGCGGAUACACGUGGUUUGGAGCCUAUGGCCGGAGACGAGUCCGAGGGUCCGAUGACACAGACCUCAUUGGAAGUGAAAUCUGUGUUCAGCUCUAUCACCAUUAAGUGUGCGACUUCUGUGGCGGGGUCCAUCCUCACGUCCUCGGAUGGCACGGUCUGCACUGGAUCUAAAGCCAGGGCAACUACAGGUGGGAUCUCCUGAACGCCGUCCGAUGGCAGAUCUAAGUCACGCUCAUCGUGGCUGUAGGGUGCACCUGUCAUGGGCUCAAAUCCGUCAAAGAUCAAGUCUCCCCGGAUGUCGGCAGUGUAGUUCAGGCUUCCAAACCUGACCUGAUGGCCAGGGGCGUAGCUAUCGAUCUGCUCCAGAUGGCCAAGGGAGUUGGCCCGCAGUGCAAAGCCGCCGAAUACGAAGAUCUAUCCAGGGAGGAAAACCUCACCCUGGACCGCAUCAUUGUAGAUUACUGAAGGAGCCAUCAAGCCUUAUGGUGACGACACAGUGCAACUCUCAAUGAAAGCACCAAUGUCGGUGUCAAAACCGGCGGAUCUCGGGUAGGGGGUCCCGAACUGUGCAUCUAAGGCUAAUGGUAACAGGAGGCGGGGGACACGAUGUUUACCCAGGUUCGGGCCUUCUCUAUGGAGGUAAUACCCUACUUCUUGCUUGAUUGAUCUUGAUGAUAUGAGUACUACAAGAGUUGACCUACCACGAGAUCGUAGAGGCUAAACCCUAGAAGCUAGCCUAUGAUUCUCAUUGUCCUACGGACUAAACACUCCGGUUUAUAUAGGCACCGAAGGGGGCUAGGGUUACACAGAGUCAGUUACAGAGAAGUGAAUCUACCUAUCCGAAUUGCCAAGCUUGCCUUCCACGCAAAGGAGAGUCCCACCCGGACACGGGACGAAGUCUUCAAUCUUGUAUCUUCAUAGUCCAACAGUCCGGCAUAAGCAUAUAGUCCGGCCGUCCGAGGACCCCCUAAUCCAGGACUCCCUCACUUGCAUAUGCUAAUUUUUGCUAGUCUUGAUAAAUUGUUUGCUUAUAAAAUGCCUACGCAUAGGAAGUAUGUUAGACUUAAACUUGCUUUUCACAUACUACAUGAUGCUCUCUUCUUGUUUCAAUUGUUAUCUUUCAUGUGAGCAUCAUUGAAAUCUCAAUGCCUAGCUAAAAGGCUUUAAAGAAAAGCGCUUGUUGGGAGAUAACCCAAUAUUUUUCUUUUCUAUUUUUACGAAAAUACACAUUAUUACCUCUGUAGUAAUUGUGUUUUGGUAUUUUAGUUAGUGUUUGAGCCAUGUAAGACCUUUGGGAUGGCUUACGGUGAUAGUUGAUUUGAUCUUGCUAAAAACAGAAACUUUUGCUGUUGGUGGAACGCGAUAAAUUCUUGAAUUUUUUACGCAAUAUUGAUAUACAAAUUUCCUCUAUUGUCCUAGUGUUUCACAAUUUUUGGAUUUACAGAAGUAUUCGAAGUUUAUAGAUUGCUACAAACUGUUAUAUUUUUGACAGAUUCUAUUUUCUAUGUGUUGUUUGCUUAUUUUGAUGAAUCUAUGGGUAUUAUCGGGGGGUAUGAACCAUGGAGAAGUUGGAAUACAGUAGAUAUUGCACCAAUAUAAAUAAAGAAUGAAUUCACAACAGUACAAAAAGUGGUGAUUCAUUUCUUAUACUAACGGAUCUCAUGAGUUUUCUGUUGAGUUUUGUGUUGUGAAGUUUUCAAGUUUUGGGUAAAGAUUUGAUGGACUAUGGAAUAAGGAGUGGCAAGAGCCUAUGCUUGGGGAUGCCCAAGGCACCCCAAGGUAAUAUUUAAGGACAACCAAGAGCCUAAGAUUGGGGAUGCCCCGGAAGGCAUCCCCUCUUUCGUCUUCGUAUAUUGGUAAAUUUACUUGAGGCUAUAUUUUUAUUCACCACAUGAUAUGUGUUUUUCUUGGAGCGUCUUGUAUGAUAUGAGUCUUUGCUUUUUAGUUUGCCACAAUAAACCUUGUUGUACACACCUUUUGAGAGGGACACGCACGAAUCGUGAUUUAUUAGAAUACUCUAUGUGCUUCACUUAUAUCUUUUGAGCUGGGCAAUUUUGCUCUAGUGCUUCACUUAUAUCUUUUUAGAGCACGGCGGUGGCUUUAUUUUGUAGAAAUCUUUGAACUCUCAUGCUUAACUUAUAUUAUUUUGGGAGUCUCUAUAAAUAGCAUGGUAAAUUUCUUUGGCUAUGAAUUUAGUCCUAAUAUGAUGGGCAUCCAAGAGGAAUAUAAUAAAAACUUUCAUAUAAAGUGCGUUGAAUACUAUGUGAAGUUUGAUUCCUUACGAUUGUUUUGAGAUAUAAAGAUGGUGAUAUUAGAGUCAUGCUAGUGAUUAAUUGUGGAUUGUAGAAAUACUUGUGUUAAAGUUUGUGAUUCCCGUAGCAUGCAUGUAUGGUGAACCGUUAUGUGAUGAAGUCGGAGCAUGAUUAAUUUAUUGAUUGUCUUCCUUAUGAGUGGCGGUCGGGGAUGAGCGAUGGUCUUUUCCUACCAAUCUAUCCCCCUAGGAGCAUGCACGUAGUACUUUGUUUCAAUGAAUAAUAGAUUUUUGAAAUAAUUAUGUGAGUUCUUUAUGACUAAUGUUGAGUCCAUGGAUUAUACGCACUCUCACCCUUCCACCAUUGCUAGCCUCUCUAGUACCAUGCAACUUUCACCGGUGCAUUACACCCACCAUAUAACUUCCUCAAAACAGCCACCAUACCUACCUAUUAUGGCAUUUCCAUAGCCAUUACGAGAUAUAUUGUCGUGCAACUUCUACCGUUCCGUUUUAUUAUGACACGCUCCAUCAUUGUCAUAUUGCUUUGCAUGAUCGUAAGAUAGCUAGCAUGAUGUUUACAUGGCUUGUUCGUUUUUUUAUGUCAUUUGCUACGCUAGAUCAUUGCACUUCUCGGUACACCGCCGGAGGCAUUCAUAUAGAUUCAUAUUUUGUUCUAAGUAUCGAGUUGUAAUUCUUGAAUUGUAAGUAAAUAAAAGUGUGAUGAUCAUCAUUAUUAAAGCAUUGUCCCAUGUGAGGAAAGGAUGAUGGAAGCUAAAAUUCCCUCACAAGUUGGGAUGAGUCUUCGGAAUUUACAAAAAAUAAAAGAGGCCAUAGAAGCCCACCCAAAAAAAGAGGCCAAAGAAGCCCACAAAAAAAUGAGAGAAAAGAGAGAGGGGACAAUGUUACUAUCCUUUUUCCACACUUGUGCUUCAAAGUAGCAUCAUGAUCUUCAUGAUAGAGAGUCUCCUAUGUUGCCACUUUCAUAUACUAGUGGGAGUUUUUCAUUAUAUAACUUGGCUUGGAUAUUCCAAUGAUGGGCUUCCUCAAAAUUGCCCUAGGUCUUCGUGAGCAAGCGAGUUGGAUGCACACCCACUUAGUUUCUUUUUUAGCUUUCAUAAACUUAUAGCGCUAGUGCAUCCGUUGCAUGGCAAUCCCCACUUACUCACAUUGAUAUCUAUUGAUGGGCAUCUCCAUAGCUCGUUGAUACGCCUAGUUGAUGUGAGACUGUCUCCUCCUUUUUGUCUUCUCCACAACCACCAUAUUCUAUUCCACCUAUAGUGCUAUAUCCAUGGUUCACACUCAUGUAUUGAGUGAAAGUUGAAAAAGUUUGAGAAACAUCAAAAGUAUGAAACAAUUGGUUGGCUUGCCAUCGGGGUUGUGCAUGAUUUAAUUUUUUGUGUCAUGAAGAUGGAGCAUAGCCAGACUAUAUGAUUUUGUAGGGAUAGCUUUCUUUGACCAUGUUAUUUUGAGAAGACAUGAUUGCUUAAUUAGUAUGCUUGAAGUAUUAUUGUUUUUAUGUCAAUAUUAAACUUUUGUUUUGAAUCUUAUGGAUCUGAACAUUCAUGCCACAAUAAAGAAAAUUACAUGGAUAAAUAUGUUAGGUAGAAUUCCACAUCAAAAAUUAUGUUUUUAUCAUUUAUCUACUCGAGGACGAGUAGGAAUUAAUCUUGGGGAUGCUCGAUACGUCUCUAACGUAUCUAUAAUUUUUUAUUGUUCCAUGUUAUUAUAUUAUCUGUUUUGGAUGUUUUAUAUGCAUUAAUAUGCUAUUACUUUAUUUUUGGGACUAACUUAAUAACCUAGAUCCCAGUGUCAGUGUCAGUUUCUGUUUUUUCCUUGUUUUGAGUUUUAUAGAAAAGGAAUAUCAAACGGAGUUCAAACGGAAUAAAACUUUACAAUGAUUUUUCUUGGACCAGAAGACAUCCACGGAGCUUGGAGGCCAAGUCAGAAGAGUCUCGAGGACUCCACAAGUCUCCAGGGUGCACCAGGCCCCUCGGGGGUCCACCGACCACCCUCUGAGUUCUAUAAAUCCUCAAAUAUUCCAUUAUCAACAGAAGCGUCCACCAAAAUACUUUUCUGCCGCCGUAAACAUGUUGUUCCAAUGAGAUCCCAUCUUGGGGCCUUUUUCGGCAUCCUGCCAGAGGGGGAUUUGAUCACGGAGGGCAUCUACAUCAACUAUAUUGCCCUUUCGAUGAAGUGUGAGUAGUUUACCACUGACCUAUGGGUCCAUAGCUAGUAGCUAGAUGGAUUCUUCUCUCUCUUUGAUUCCCAAUACCAUGUUCUCCUCGAUGUUCUUGGAGAUCCAUCUGAUGUAAUCUUCUUUUGUGGUGUGUUUGUCGAGAUCGAUGAAUUGUGGAUUUAUGACCAGCUUAUCUAUGAAUAUUAUUUGAAUCUUCUCUGAAUUCUUAUAUGCAUGAUUUGAUAUCUUUGUAUUUCUCUUCGAAUUAUCGGUUUGGUUUAGCCAACUAGAUUGGGUUUUCCUGCAAUGGGAGAGGUGCUUAGUUUUCGGUUCAGUCUUGCGUGAUUUCACUCAGUGACAAAGUAGGGGUAGCGAGACACGUAUUUUAUCAUUGCCAUCAAGGGUAAAAAGAUGGGGUUUUCAUCAUAUUGCUUGAGUUUAUCCAUCUACAUCAUGUCAUCUUACUUAAGGUGUUACUCCAUUCUUUAUGAACUUAAUACUCUAGAUGCAUGCUGGAUAGCGGUCGAUGUGUGGAGUAAUAGUAGUAGAUGCAGGCAGGAGUCGGUCUACUUGACACGGACGUGAUACCUAUAUGCAUAAUCAUUUCCUUAGAUGUUGUCAUAACCUUGCGCUUUUCUAUCAAUUGCUCGACAGUAAUUUGUUCACCAUCGUAUUAUUUGCCUUCAAGAGAGAAGCCUCUAGUGAAACCUAUGACCCACGGGUCUAUUUUCCUUCAUAUAUUUUUAGAUCUAUAAACCAAAAAUACCUUGUUGUAAUUUAUUUACUUUCAUUUACUUUUACGGUUUAGUAAUAUUUUAUAUCUAUCUCUAUCAUAUCUCACCUUUGCAAGUGACCAUGAAGGGAUUGACAACCCCUUUUUCGCGUUGGGUGCAAGUGUUUGAUUAUUUGUGUAGGUGCACAUAUUGGGGACCUGCGUGUUUCUCCUACUGGAUUAUACCUUGGGUAUUAACUGAGGGAAAUACUUAUCUCUACUUUGCUGCAUCACCCUUUUCUCUUCAAGGGAAAACCAACGCAAGCUCAAGAAGUAGCAACGCGCGGGUGAGCCCACUACUGUAGAUUGACCCUCUGAUGACGACCCGCUAAACCCCUUUGUUGGUUGUUUCACGGCCCAGUAGUAAGCCUAUGUAUGUGUAUAGUGCAUUGAUGUCCCACCUAACUGUUAGCAGAUGCAAACUUUCAUUGACCUUUCAGUUCUCUGUGCCUCCUAGUAGUGUGUAUUGCCAGCUUCAGGUGCUGGGGAUGUAGCUGGUAGCAUUGCCUGCAAAUUUACAAUGUGCUACCAGUGCGGCCCCAUCUACUGAAACUAUUCAGCAGAUUGAACAUACACAUCCAUAUGAUAGCGAUGCACAUUCAAAUCCAACAAGUUACGUACAAUCAUAUGGUCGAUUUUAUAUUCAUCAUAUAUGAAUAUCAUAACCCAGAAGUACACAACCAACAUCUAUUAAUUCAACAUUCACAUCUGACGUAUAAUAAGAUCAUAAGCAGAAGACUCCUACAAACAGUGAAGUUGUACUAAUCAAUGCUCUUACAUCGUGGAGUCAAUGUACCGAUCUCACAUCUUCAUGUCGGAUACCAACGUCGUGCUAUCCACCUAGAGUACCUCAUCUCUAUGCAUAUCGCAAAGAUAACCAUUGAAAACAUGCAGUACUAUCACUUGAGAAGGGUUGUUGUCGUUCUUGAAGUAGUUUUCCUAUAUUAGAAGUAUGUAAGACACAUGCAAAAAUAUAUAGUAGUUCAAAAUGUGAUCUAGUCCCAUAGAUGGUACUGGUAUUUUGGUAUUAAACAAGUGCUUUACAAGGCGUCCCUUGUCUAUAAAUUUGGCACCAGUGAACCAUUAGCCUUGCCAUUGAGUUGUGUUUUCCUCAUGGAUACCACCACAACGCACCCUUGAAAAGAUCAUAACAUUUAAUUAAGAUAGUUUCAUCCUCAGCUUUUAGAUCGAUGCUCCUCGAUUGAAAAUAUGUUGGCAUCAUUGUUGUGGUAUACCAUUCGAUCAACAACAAUAUAUGUGCAAGUGAAUUUUGACAUUAAUAACAUUACACAUAACUACUAGAGGAAGACAUAAAAUUGGCUUCUGUAUUUUCAUGAUGAGAAGAUACGCACACACACGUACUAAUAAUGACUAGGGUCAUGCUUGCUAAGCUAGGGCGGGCUCGUGAUUUAGCCACUGGAAUUUGGGUACUUCAUGGAUGUACAUCUUCCACCAAGCCCUCCAUUGUAAUUUUAUGUUUUCUUAGGAACUCCCCCAACAAUAUCUAGCAAUUGCAUCACAAAUUUCUUUCUUUGAAAUAUUAAAAACCGACAUAGCAUAGACUAGGUUGUCAUGUGCCACGACUUUCAAUAGUCUUCUUAGCCCCCAUGGAUAAGGUCGUAGCAGUCCACCCAUUGAUUAAAACACAAACUCUAUCAAUUAGAUGUUAGAAACAAUCACUGCGAUCAACUCCCAAGUGACAACCAACCAAGAUAGUUACUUGUGAGGGCCUAUGCCAGAAUCUCCAGUUCUGUAGAAACCUCUCUUUUCACAUCUUCCCUAGUAUUUAGGCUUGAAAAGAUAUCAGACUUCGCUUCACUAACAAGUUAACCUAAGUUGGCAUAGUACAUAUCUAGAACAUUCCAUAGUAGCAGUGUUCAAUGCAUCCACUCUCAUUAGGAUCAAGGUAACGCUAACAAAGGGCAAGUGUGAAAUUGAUGGUGCACUGUAGGAAUGAAGUAUGUCUACCGGGGGGUGAAUGGGAGAUUUAAAUUUUCUUCGAGAAACUUGAAACCUCUCAGAACACAACAGCGAAGAAUAAACUAAAUGGUAACUUUACUACGAAAUAAAACUACUUGAAACAGACAGAAAUUUUAUCGAGACAAAACAAGUAUGGGAACCGAAGAUAAAUUACAUGGCUGAAACACAGUAGAGUAUAAAUAACUAAAAAUAUUUAUGGGUGAAGAUGAAACUAGUGAUGCUCGAUGGAGGCAAGGUAUUAGGUAAACCAGUCACUCUUCUACAAAAGAGCUAUGUCUGGUUGGUGGAACUUCUGGUUUAACACAGAAGAUAAACUCUCUUCGUCCUAUUCUUCUCGACAACAAGUUCAUCAACUUGUGCCGAUUACUCGAGGUAAAUAGUUCAGGCGAUCUCCAAAACCUUCACAGAUUGUGUUCACAAAGCACAGUGACUCUUGGUUGCUGAUGAUUUUGACGCCUAACCAUCUAGAGAGUUAGCAGCUCUCAAGAGUAAUAUGCCUAGCAUACUAAACUUAGAUAUCUAUGAUGCUCAACCACUAUCUAGUUUUUUGAGUCUAGGGUUUUCUCUCGGUGGAUUAACUCUAAUCUUUCAGCUGCUCAAACAAACUGUCAGAAUCACACGGAGCAGCCAACCAUCUCGGUUGGAAUGGGGUGGUUACUUAUAGCUGAAGCAAUCACGAGGGGGAAAUGAUCAUUCAGGACAUGACGUCCAACCAAUGGCCAACCAACACGUCUCUAACGGUCGGAUUUCAAACACACCCAACAACUUUACUUGAGGAACAAGUAAGGCUGACUCCUUUGCUGGAACAUAUCUCUAGCAGUCGAGAAGAUUAACGUCUCUUGCUGGCAACUAAUGUUUUGAGGCAGGAAGAGAUUUAACUCAACUCUCAUAGGUUUCAGUCAAGCAUUAGAGAAACAUAAGUUUCAAAACACUCUACCCCUCUUGAUAGUACGGUGGUUGCUACGUCUUGAGCUUGCGUUGGUUUUCCUCGAAGAGGAGAGGCUGAUGCAGCAAUAGUAGCAUAAGUAUUUCCCUCAGUUUUUGAGAACCAAGGUAUCAAUCCAGUAGGAGGCACCUCAAAAUUCCCACGCACCUACACAAACAAACUGAGAAAUCGCAACCAACGCAAUAAAGGGGUUGUCAAUCCCUUCACGGCCACUUGCGAAAGUGAGAUCUAAUAAAGAUAGUAAGAUAAGAUAAAUAUAUUUUUGGUAUUUUAUAAGAUAGAUGCAAAAAGUAAAGAUGCAAAUAAAAGUAGACUGAAAGCAAAUAUGAUAAGAGAUAGACCCGGGGGCCAUAGGUUUCACUAGUGGCUUCUCUCAAGAUAGCAUAAGUAUUACGGUGGGUGAACAAAUUACUGUCGAGCAAUUGAUAGAAAAGCGAAUAGUUAUGAGAUUAUCUAGGCAUGAUCAUGUAUAUAGGCAUCACGUCCAUAACAAGUAGACCAACUCCUGCCUGCGUCUACUACUAUUACUCCACACAUCGACCGACUCCUGCCUGCAUCUAGAGUAUUAAGUUCAUAAGAACAGAGUAACGCAUUAAGCAAGAUGACAUGAUGUAGAGGGAUAAACUCGAGCAAUAUGAUAUAAACCCCAUCUUGUUAUCCUCGAUGGCAACAAUACAAUAAGUGCCUUGCAACCCUUUUUGUCACUGGGUAAGGACACCGCAAGAUUGAACCCAAAGCUAAGCACUUAUCCCAUGGUAAGAAAGAUCAAUCUAGUAGGCCAAACCAAACUGAUAAUUCGAAGAGACUUGCAAAGAUAACUCAAUCAUACAUAAAAGAAUUCAGAGAAGAUUCAAAUAUUAUUCGUAGAUAAACUUGAUCAUAAACCCACAAUUCAUCGGAUCUCGACAAACACACCGCAAAAAGAGUUUACAUUGAAUAGAUCUCCACAAGAGAGGGGGAGAACAUUGUAUUGAGAUCCAAAAAGAGAGAAGAAGCCAUCUAGCUAAUAACUAUGGACACGUAGGUCUGUGGUAAACUACUCACAACUCAUUGAAGGGGCAAGGAUGUUGAUGUAGAAGCCCUCCGUGGUCGAUUCCCCCUCCGGCAGAAUGUCGGCGAAGGCUCCAAGAUGGGAUCUCGCGGAUACAGAAGGUUACGGUGGUGGAAAUUGUGUUUCGUCCGCCUCCUGGAUGUUUUCGGGGUACGUAGGUAUAUAUAGGAGGAAGAAGUACGUCGGUGGCCGCCCGAGGGGCCCACGAGAUAGGGGGCACGCCCUAUAGGGGGGCGACCUCCUAUCUCGUGGGAGCCUCGGCUGCUUCUUUACUUGCACUCCAAGUCCUCUGGAUCACGUUCGUUCCAAAAAUCACGCUCCCGAAGGUUUCAUUCUGUUUGGACUCCGUUUGAUAUUCCUUUUCUUCGAAAUACUGAAAUAGGCAAAAAAAACAUCAAUAUGGGUUGGGCCUCCGGUUAGUAGGUUAGUCCCAAAAAUGAUAUAAAUGUGUAAAAUAAAGCCCAUAAACAUCCAAAAGAGGUAAUAUAAUAGCACGGAACAAUCAAAAAUUAUAGAUACGUUGGAGACGUAUCAAGCAUCCCUAAGCUUAAUUCCUACUCGUCCUCGAGUAGGUAAAUGAUAAAAAAAGAAAUUUUUGAUGUGGAAUGCUACCUAGCAUAAUUCUCAAUGUAAUUUUCUUUAUUGUGGCAUGAAUGUUCAGAUCCGAAUGAUACAAAAUAAAAGUUCAUAUUGACAUAAGAAAUAGUAAUACUUCAAGCAUACUAAUCAAAGUAAUCAUGUCUUCUCAAAAUAACAUGGCCAAAGAAAGUUAUCCCUACAAAAUCAUAUAGUCUGGUUGUUGCUCUAUCUUCAUCACACAAAGUAUUUAAUCAUGCAUAACCCCGAUGACAAGCCAAGCAAUUGUUUCAUACUUUAAUAAUCUCAAACUCUUUCAACUUUCACGCAAUACAUGAGCGUGAGCCAUGGACAUAGCACUAUAUGUGGAAUAGAAUGGUGGUUGUGGAGAAGACAAAAAAGGAGAAGAUAGUCUCACAUUAACUAGGCGUAUCAACGGACUAUGGAGAUGCCCAUUAAUAGAUAUCAAUGUGAGUGAGUAGGGAUUGCCAUGCAACGGAUGCACUAAAGCUAUAAAUAUAUGAAAGCUCAACAAAAGAAACUAAGUGUGUGUGCAUCCAACUCGCUUGCUCACGAAGACCUAGGGUAUUUUGAGGAAGCCCAUCAUUGGAAUAUACAAGCCAAGUUCUAUAAUGAAAAAUUCCCACUAGUAUAUGAAAGUGACAACAUAUGAGACUCUCUAUCAUGAAGAUCAUGGUGCUAUUUUGAAGCACAAGUGUGGAAAAAGGGAUAGUAGCAUUGUCCCUUCUCUCUUUUUCUCUCAUUUUAUUAUUAUUAUUUUUCUUUUUUUCUUUUUUUCUUUGGCCUUCUUUUUUGGCCUUCUUUUUUUUGGCCUUUCUCUUUUCUUUUUUUUCUUUUUGUAAAGUCUGAAGUCUCAUCCCGACUUGUGGGGGAAUCAUAGUCUUCAUCAUUCUUUCCUCACUAGGACAAUGCUCAAAUAAUGAAGAUCAUCACACUUUUAUGGAUUUACAACUCAAGAAUUACAACUCAAAGCUAGAACAAGAUAUGACUCUAUAUGAAUGCCUCCGGCGGUGUACCGGGAUAUACAAUGAAUCAAGAGCGACAUGUAUGAAAAUUAUGAAGGUGGCCUUGCCACAAAUACAAUGUCAACUAUAUGAUCAUGCAAAGAGCAAUAUGACAAAAGUAAUGCGUGUCAUAUGAACG
rnacentral:lncRNA from 1 species